rnacentral:rRNA from 1 species
ACUACGGGCGGCAGCAGUGGGGGAUAUUGCACAAUGGGGGAAACCCUGAUGCAGCGACGCCGCGUGUGGGAAGACGGUCCUCUGGAUUGUAAACCACUGUCCCCAGGGACGAAGAUGACGGUACCUGGGGAGGAAGCUCCGGCUAACUACGUGCCAGCAGCCGCGGUAAUACGUAGGGAGAGAGCGUUGUCCGGAAUUACUGGGUGUAAAGGGAGCGUAGGCGGGACUGCAAGUUGUGUGUCAAAUCUACCGGCUCAACCGGUAGCCGCACUCAAAACUGCAGUUCUUGAGUGAAGUAGAGGCAGGCGGAAUGCCUAGUGUAGCGGUGAAAUGCGUAGAUAUUAGGAGGAACACCAGUGGCGAAGGCGGCCUGCUGGGCUUUUACUGACGCUGAGGCUCGAAAGUGUGGGGAGCAAACAGGAUUAGAUACCCUUGUAGUC